rnacentral:rRNA from 1 species
GGGGACCCGCAAGCGGUGGAUGAUGUGGAUUAAUUCGAUGCAACGCGAAAAACCUUACCUACCCUUGACAUGUACGGAAGGCCGGAGAGAUCUGGCUGUGCUCGAAAGAGAACCGUAACACAGGUGCUGCAUGGCUGUCGUCAGCUCGUGUCGUGAGAUGUUGGGUUAAGUCCCGCAACGAGCGCAACCCUUGUCAUUAGUUGCUACGAAAGGGCACUCUAAUGAGACUGCCGGUGACAAACCGGAGGAAGGUGGGGAUGACGUCAAGUCCUCAUGGCCCUUAUGGGUAGGGCUUCACACGUCAUACAAUGGUACAUACAGAGGGCCGCCAACCCGCGAGGGGGAGCUAAUCCCAGAAAGUGUAUCGUAGUCCGGAUUGUAGUCUGCAACUCGACUACAUGAAGUUGGAAUCGCUAGUAAUCGCGGAUCAGCAUGUCGCGGUGAAUACGUUCCCGGGUCUUGUACACACC